GUCCAUACUGAUGCCAGCCGGCGCAGACAGAUAAUAGAUCAACUUGGAGAAGCCUGCCAGAAAUGGGGUUUCUUUCAAUUGAUCAGUCAUGGAAUCCCUGCACAUGUUUUGGAUGGAAUGGUUGACGGGAUACUUCAAUUUCAUGAGCAAGACAUUGAGGUCAAAAAACAGUUCUUUUCACGGGAUGAAAAGAGAAAGGUCAGCUAUAAUUCCAACUUUGAUCUCUACCAAACUAAGGCAGCUAGUUGGAGGGAUUCGUUAUAUUGUGCCAUGUCUCCUAAUCCACCCAGUCCUGAAGAAUUGCCCGCAGUUUGUAGAGAUAUCACGAUCCAUUACUUGAAAAAAGCAACGAAUUUGGGGUUGACAUUAUUCGAAUUAGUAUCGGAAGCUCUUGGACUUGAUCCCAACCACCUGAAAAAUUUGGGAUGUGCAGAGGGGAUAUUUUUCGUCGGCCAUUACUACCCUGCAUGCCCUGAACCAGGCAUGACUUUGGGCAUUAGCAAGCAUAGUGAUAGUGGCUUCCUUACGAUUCUUUUGCAAGAUCGAUUGGGUGGCCUUCAAGUCCUCCAUGAAGAUCAAUGGGUUGAUGUUACCCCUGUUCCUGGAGCUCUAGUAGUAAAUCUGGGAGAUCUACUACAGAUAAUGAGCAAUGAUAAGUUUAAAAGCGUAUAUCACAGGGUGAUAGCAAAAAAUGUUGGACCAAGAAUAUCAGUUGCUUGUUUCUUCGGAACCCACUUCGAGCAAGGGACAUCGUCAUCGUCCAGACUCUAUGGGCCGAUCAAGCAGUUGCUGUCAAAAGAUAAUCCUCCAAUAUACAAAGAAACUACUGUAAGAGACUAUGUUGCUCAAGUCUACACAAAAGGGCUUGAUGGGAUCACUGGACUGGAAUAUUUCAAAUUGUGAAUUUAGCUAGUGCUGUGUAUUAGUGUGCUUCUCCAAGUUAAUCUCCCCGCUGCACUAUACAUGUAAUUGUGCUCUAGUUUUAAAAUGAACUGCAGCAAUAAUAAACAAAG
rnacentral:misc_RNA from 1 species